rnacentral:tRNA from 1 species
GCCGAAGUGGCGGAAUGGCAGACGCGACGGUCUCAAAAACCGUUGGAGGUGACUCCGUGUGGGUUCGACUCCCACCUUCGGCA